UAAACGGUAGCCAGCAGAUCGUAAAUACAAUCACCACGGUAACCAUCAUCUUGAUCAUCUGCAAAUGAGAGAAAAAGGACAACAAAGUUCAUCAGAAAGAGGAAAUCAUCAGCAGUGGCUGAAAGGCGAAGCUCAUAGGAUUAAUCCCCCUUCGAGGAUCAAUUCGAAGACAAAGUGCCUGCUUGUGGGGGCUCUAAUCGUGGUAAAGCCUGCAUCCGAAGCAGAGUAUCAGCUGACGGCGACGAUCUCGAGAUGGUAGAGGAGUUCUGUAACCUUGAUAGAUUCUUUGGCUGAGCCACGGCUGAGAAUGCCGGACUCAUGUCCCACCAGGGAGGUACUAGUUAGCGACCCGUUUGGUAAGAGCUGCAGAGGGGGCCAAACAGGCUCAUUGGAACAGGUACAGCAGCUACAGUGAUAGAAAAGAUUAGUUAGCUUAGUCAUCACUAACGAAGCAUGGACAACAUUCUUAUUUUAAUCCAACACCGGGUUGAGAAGAAUGAUUUUGGGGAUCAUUUGCCCACGCGCUUUCGGAGGAUAGUACAUCUCGACGCUUUUUAAUUCCAAUUGCUGUUUCUCCCUCUCUUCUUGGCAUGUUGAGGUCAUACCUGCCAUUUCUGGCUUACUAGACUUGAUGAUUCCACGUUGUUGGAUAGUCAAGUCCUCACUACGGGGGAACGGUUGGGAUUUGAAUGUUGCGUCUACCACCGUGCCGUCCCUGUAGUGGAAUGGUGAAAACAGCUCCCAUUCCAAACAGCUGUCACAGCCAAAUAAGAAUGCCAUAAGAACAAUCCCUAGUAUAGGACUGGAUGAGUAUUGUGUUUCAUGGAACGAUACAAAAGCAUGAUGAGCUAGAUAAAGCUGAUGUGGCAUUGAGUUGUUGUUUUUUUUAUUCAUGAAGGACUGCCUGGCCGCAUUGCUGUGGCAUUGAGUUGUAAAGAACAACAAAAACCAAUUUUCAUAUAACCAAUGCAUACUUUUAGGCGUAGCGAGGAAAGCAAAACUUUUAUAUUUUUUUCUGAAAGGUGAAUUAUUUUUUAUGUUCUUAUGUUAUUUUAUGUAUGUUUUAAAUUAACCCAAAUUGCCGAAAUUACAAGAAGCUUAACCAUAAACAUAGCAUAAUCUGAUGAAAUCCAGCAAAUCGGAUAAAUAUUGCACCAUAUCACACAGCCAAUUAGUUCGGCCCUAAAGGCCAAACCCUUACCAUCCCUCUCAAACACCGUAACAAAUUCUGUCUACAUGUGUUAUUUUAGGACGAAGGCAGCGUAAACGUAACGCAACCAUGAAAUAAAGGCUCGUUUUACUGCGUGGGUCGGGUUUACCGGGCGUGCGAAACCAGCCGGCAAAACGCAGUGCAUCCCGGUUUGCUACGUUCCAGCGCAGAAACCAUCUGGAAACCAUUUCAAACUCUGCUACACACAGCUGCUACGUCUGGCGUACCCAAAGCGGGCCUGGCAAACCAGCAACAGGGCCAAAGCUGGACCAAAAACAGUUCCAAUGGUAUUACAAGGUUUGGGAGAAAAGUUUUCACCGCUCACGCGAUAAACAACAUUAUCGUUCGUCACAGGGGUGGAACAAUGGCAAAGUUUUUCUGCCAUAUCCCAUUCCCAUCUCCCAGGACGGUAGGUGGAUGGUGUCGUACAGUCGCAUAAAUGUAGCCGCUCCCCGGCUGCGAACUUCCUCGUCAGCAGUUUCAAGGACAAGGCCGGCCCUGGAGGGUAACGUGCGGCCGGGUGAAGUUUACUGUCUACACAGAUCCGUCACAGAAGGCGUUAAUUAAGAAGUGCACAGCAUUGCUUGCGCCGUUUCGUUAAUUGACUGUUCAAUGUGUGUUGGCACACUGUACACAUUAAAAAAAAAAGUUUUAAUUGAAUACGCGUAUCACAGCGGCGAGUGUACGUUGCAGCUUAAAUUUCACUGUUUAAUGCGAUUAAUUAAUCGUGCCUUUGAAUUUAUCAUAAACUGUUGUUUGCCAAAUUAAUAUAGGCACGUGUGUGGACUGUCAUGAUGAGAGGAGUUUUACGUUAGCAUAUUGCAUACUUGUAGGCGCUCACGUUAUGCUAGCCUUGAUUACACUUAUUCCAAACACUAUACACAAUUAAUUUGUUUGCUGUGCGCUAAUAAUGCAGCAGGAAGGUAAAUCAAAUCUCGGUCGUAUUAAUCAGAAGCGCCUUAAUUAAAUUGUACAAUUCAAAGUCAAAAUGAACAGCACGCAAUAACGUAGCCGGCACGUCGCUUGUCUAGGGACAAUCUAAGUGCCCUACCUAUUAAUUUUACAAAGAUAAAAUAUUUUCUUUUGUAAAAUGCAUUAAUAUGAAGAAGCUGUUUAGUUGGUAAGUUAAUUUCGAUCUUCUUCAAACUCGAGCUCCCUGGCCUUGACCAAUGAUAAUGAAGAUAGACAAUAAUGCAAUGAGGCGGAUAUGGAUGCAAAAGAGUGUAAUGCGAUUUGCCUAUCUCUAGGCGCAAUACAUUCCGGAUGGUUGUUCUAAGAGCAAGAUGAGCAAACUAUGAUAUGGCUGUACCGACUUUUAUACAAUUUAACCUUUUUUUAACUCUUAAUAAAAUAAUUCAAAUAGAUUUUUAUAUAAAUAAAAGUUGCUCUAAAGCUACUUGUAUUUUUGCACGAUUUUAAAAGCCAUUACAAUAACCGAGAAAAAUAUUCUCCCCAUGUGCUCCUAUAGUUAGGUUAGAUGGAAGAAUUUGCAUAAGGCAGAAAAAAAAGCUUAAUUGAGUGUAAAAUUACAAUGUUUUAUUCAAAAUAUUUGUUUUGUGUUUCUCUAUAACCCACUAAAACAUCAAUUUAAGCUAUCUCUUUUAGUUCUAUUCUUUAAAACAAAUCAGGUGUUCGUAUAGUUAUGUAGAACGCAUAGGACUGUAAACGGCCGCUGGAUCAAGCGGUCAUUAGUGGAUAACUUUUUGACAAAUUUUACUCAAAAACAAAAGAAACCAAGAUUUUUAUAUUGGUGUGCGUUGGCUGUCGUGUAGCGACACGUGUAUGUUACCAUCAAAGUAACCGUUGAUAGUUUUUCACCGUCCUCUGCUUUUAGCAGUCAAGUGUUUAGAUUUUAGGCAAAGUAUAGAAAUUGUAACUAGCAAAGGUGUUGUCAAAAAUAUUGUAAAGUUCAGUGCAUCUUAAAAAAAAAAUAUUUGAAAAACUAUUUGCAAAGAGAUGACCGCAACAUAUUUUCUUCAUCUGCAAAUGCAACAAGGCCCAGUCUAAUCCCAUCAAGGUGAGAACUUGUAGCUCCUGCCCUAUCCUUUGUACGGACUUCUUUUAAUUCCAAUAUGCAACACUGUUGUCUAAUUAGACGGUCAUGAUGGGAUAUGAACUCCGGUUCUGUCGUGUCUGGCGUCGUUAUCACCUCGUCCACCAGACGUGCCCCCGGAUUCGUGUCUUGGCCUAUGGUCUGUCCAUGAUAGGAUGAGUGUUUCUAGCUAUGUUACCUGUGAGACUCAGUUAAUAGAAAGUAGCAAAGGAAAAAAUGUUACCCAUCUAGAUGCUGCCCAUUUUGGCUGCAAAAUAAGUUAGUGGGAAAUAGUUUGAACCUCAGUGUACAGGAGUUAUUGAAAGUCAUGUAGGGAGGUUCAGGAUAAGUAAGAUUCGAGGAAUCCCUAUACAGAUUCGAAGCAGAUUUGCUCCUAAUAAUGAAUUCAAAUCCGUUUUGGAUUGGAUUUGGGA